CUUUGCUGGUUUGGAGGCUCUCCUUUUAUAGCUGCAGAAUUUCUCUCCAUCUAGGGUUUUGAAAUCCCUCUUUGAUUUGGUGUUUGACUCCUCUUUUGAUGUUGAUUUUAAUUGCAAUUGGAAUUCCUUGGAUGAGAGACUCUUUCGUGGCUCUUGGUUUUGUGUUGGGAGUGAUUGGAUUGGAUUUGGACUUCUAAAAAUUCGGAUUUCUGUUUUCUGCCCAUUUUCCCGCUCUGCUAUAAGUUUCUGCUGUCAAAGUGAUUUGCCCGGUGAUUUGAGUAUUUUGGGCAAAUCACUGCCCCAAUCACUUCUCUGUGAGUCAGUCCUC
rnacentral:lncRNA from 1 species